GGUACGGUGCGCCUGACCCACGGGUGCAAACUCGCGAGUGUCGGUGUGCGCCUGCCAUCGUUAGUAAAUGUCGCCGUAUGCACUUUACUGGGCGUGCGGUAUUGGCUUUACUUCGUUUACUUUGAAAAAAUUAGAGUGUUUAAAGCAAGCGUUGCGCGUUGAAUACAUUAGCAUGGAAUAAUAAUUUAGGACUUUGCUUUCUAUUUUAUUGGUUUCUAGGAGUGAAGUA
rnacentral:rRNA from 1 species